AUUGCACUUUGGGUGAUUCGAGAGCACGUUCCUCGGCUCUUAAAAAUCUGUUCUUAUCAGUUUAAUAUCUGAUACGUCCCCUAUCUGGGGACCAUAUAUUAAAUGGAUUUUUGAGAACGGGGGCCGAUUUCGAAGCUUGCUUCCGUCGCCCUAUCCAUUGACCCGAUAUGGCAGUAUCUUCGGGUACAGUGCACCACCC